UUACCUGGAACUGCAUGGUAACGCACAGCAAACGAUACACCGCUCGCUAUCACUUCGCGUGUCGUGGAAAUCGUGACCUCUUCCAAUUCGUGUUUGAAUCAACUGCGACUUGUGAAAUCAAUGUUGAACUGUUGACCCUGCAGUAGAGUGUUCCCUGCAUACCACCUUUUUGCAUCCAAUUUGCUUCGCUCCGAAGGAUGAAACUAUGGGUCUGAAACAAUCCUGUUUGGGCGGCUGCAGAUUAUGUUUGCAAGGUGAAUGUGAUAGAAGCCGCAGUUCAGUGGAGAGUCAUCUCCAAGUCCCUGAUAUCAUAAUAACGCCUCCAACACCCACGGUUCUCUCAACACCCGGCAGCUUGAAACAGGCUGACAGGGACUCACUGCUAGAUGACACUCUCCCAAACAGAUGUUAGCUGCAAAAAAGCCCUGAUAUUUAUGCAAAAGCCCAAGCAUCAAGAUCACAUCAAGAAUGUUUCUUGUUUGAAGAAGCGUUAAGAACAGAUUGCACAGCAACCAUCUGCCUCAUUUCACUUGGUGUGUGAAUGAUAAACUAUACACAGAUUUAUCUACCAGUCUGUUUUUUUAACUUUUGAAACAAGUUUUGAUGAUAAUAGCAAUAUAGAGUUUGGAUUAAAAACUUAAAACAUCCGCAAAAAAUUACUGACUGCCAUGUUUAACUGCUUUGCCCUGUCUCUUAACUCUCCUGCUUUCUGUUGUGUCUUCACACACCAUGAGAAAAGCCCCUUUCAAAAAUACCAUUCGAAGGUUAAAAGUGCAAAUUUUUGCAGUUGCCCUUUUAAUUAAAGAGGAAUUCUGCACCAAUGACACACAAAUAGUCCAAUCUCAAGCUCCCAAAUUACAUCCUGGUAUCUUGUUCCAACUUCAUAGAACAAGCUCCAGAGAUAACCAAAGAUGUUUUCAAUAAACGCAGUAAGAUUAUCAACAUGCAAAGAUUAUCAAGGAUCUGUAAAUGAAGACCAGAUGGAGUGUCAUUUCAUCCUGAUACUGUUGAUGCCUAAAGGAAUUUUUAAUGGAGAGGCAGGCAGAUGGAAAUUCUUAAUUCAUGAUGACAGCCAACAGAUGGCAAAAGGCAUUAUCUACAACUGCAUGAUUCCAGAGACAGAUUCUUUAAAAAUGUCAGCAACCAAAUGGAAAACAGUGCCUUUCAAUUCACACUGCCUCCCCUAUCCAUCAGAAAUGGAAAUCCGAUCGCAUUUUUUAGGUCAAUGAGAACUAGACUUGAGCUCUAGUGCUACACACCAGUAAAUAUGAAGUUAGCCACACUCCGAGGCAAGUGGGAAGACCUAUUGUAAUCCACUCUGAAUUGGGAACAAUACCAGGAUCGAAGGGAUGAUUUUGCGGAGAAGGCAAUUUGUGGAGUUAGAACUCACGCUUUUAAAAUCUCUGCAUUUUUAAGAUUGAAACAAUGUUCCUUUUGUAGUAUUUCUUAAGGAUUUUCUAAAAUGUCCUGACUUGCAAAUGCAGUGCACCGAGGUAUGGUACUAAAUCACACUGAGUAGGAAGAUCCUCUGUUGCUGUCCCUGGUCUUAGUCUGUGCACUUUGGGUGUCAGCCAUAACUCAGGUGGUACUCUCUUGCUGCAGCAUGCAGGACCAUUAGUUCAAAUUCCACUCCAGAAAUUGACCUCAAAUUUAGGUUGGCACUGCGCUGCACUGCACUGCAACACUGGGGAGUGCUGCAUUGUCAGAGGUGCAGUUUUCAGGGUGAGACAUUAAGCCAAAGCCUGGUUUUCCCUCCUCAGGUGCACUGCAUAAGAUCACAGGAUACUAUUGUGAAGAGGACUGAGGGAGGUAUCCCCAUGUCCCGGCCUAUAUUGACGUUAUAAAUAGAAAAUAGAUUAUUUGGUCAUUAUCACAUUGCUGUUCUGUGCACAAUUUGGCUGCCAUGUUUCUUAUAGUAAACAGGGGCCAACUCUUCAAAAUUACUUAACUGGUAGAAAUAUAUUUUGGAUUACA